GGAUGUGAAGGCGAUCUGGUUGCUAUAUCUGUCAGUCUGUUGAUUGCCAGGGUUGAUUUGACUGAUCUGGCUGGCUAGGCAGGUAUCCCCUUCCUCACUGCUCCAUUUUUGUCCCUCCUGAAGCUGCACGCCUGGUUGAAGAGGAGGACCACCCCAAUAGAACUGGACUGUUUUCUUGGUCAAGGGUAUAUUCUCCCCUAAUAGAAUCUCAAAACAAACUCUUAAAACUUGCAAAUCUGGCUUUUCAAGUGCCAUUGUGCUACUU
rnacentral:snRNA from 1 species